UACGUAGGGUGCAGGCGUUAAUCGGAAUUACUGGGCGUAAAGCGUGCGCAGGCGGUUUGCUAAGACAGGUGUGAAAUCCCCGGGCUUAACCUGGGAACUGCGCUUGUAACUGGCAAGCUAGAGUGUGGGCAGAGGGGGUGGAAUUCCCGGUGUAGCGGUGAAAUGCGUAGAUAUCGGAAGGAACAUCAGUGGCGAAAGCGACUUCCUGGACCAAUACUGACGCUCAUGUGCGAAAGCGUGGGGAGCAAACAGG
rnacentral:rRNA from 1 species